rfam:Tupaia chinensis contig17805, whole genome shotgun sequence.
AAAUAGGCAUUUUUAAAUGCCAUUUUAAUUUCAAGAAAAAUACUUU